rnacentral:misc_RNA from 1 species
AUGAAGAACGCAGCGAAAUGCGAUACUUGGUGUGAAUUGCAGAAUCCCGUGAACCAUCGAGUCUUUGAACGCAAGUUGCGCCUCAAGCCAUUAGGUUGAGGGCACGUCUGCCUGGGCGUCACAUAUCGUUGCCUGAUGCCAGUUUCCUCGUGAUGGGUGACUGUGCAGGGCGAAUGAUGGCUUCCCGUGAGCAUUGUUGCCUCAUGGUUGGUUGAAAAUUGAGUCCUUGGUAGGGCGCGCCGUGAUAGAUGGUGGUUGAGUGACGAACGAGACCCAAUCAUGUGAGACCCCUACCGAAUUUGGCCUUCAUGACCCACAUGCGUCUUUGGAACGCUCAUGACGAGACCUCAGGUCAGGCGGGGCUACCCGCUGAGUUUAAGCAUAUCAAUAAGCGGAGGA